rnacentral:rRNA from 1 species
AGGACGAACGCUGGCGGCGUGCUUAACACAUGCAAGUCGAGCGGUAAGGCUCCUUCGGGAGUACACGAGCGGCGAACGGGUGAGUAACACGUGAGCAAUCUGCCCUUCACAUCGGGAUAACCCCCGGAAACGGGAGCUAAUACCGGAUACGACCACUUCAGGCAUCUGAUGGUGGUGGAAAGUUCUGGCGGUGAAGGAUGAGCUCGCGGCCUAUCAGCUAGUUGGUGAGGUAAUGGCCCACCAAGGCUUCGACGGGUAGCCGGCCUGGAGAGGGUGACCGGCCACACUGGGACUGAGACACGGCCCAGACUCCUACGGGAGGCAGCAGUGGGGAAUAGUUGGACAAGUGGGACGAAAGCCUAGAUCCAGCAACGCCGCGUGAGGAUGACGGCCGUUCGGGUUGUAAACCUCUUUCAGCGCGAGACGAAGCGAAGUGACGGUAUGCGCAGAAGAAGCACCGGCCAACGUACGUGCCAGCACGCCGACGGUAAUCC